rfam:Heterocephalus glaber contig223497, whole genome shotgun sequence.
GAGGGUGUAGCCCAGUGCUAGGGUUUGCCUAGCAAGCAUGAGGCUCUGGGUUCAAUUCUCAGCACUGUUA